ACCUUUAGCCACGCUACCCUGAACACGCCUAAUCUUGUCUGAUUUUGAAAGCUAAGCAGGGGUGGGCCUGGUUAAUACUUGGAUGGGAGAUCACCUAGGAAGACCAGGUUCUGUAGGCA
rnacentral:rRNA from 1 species